UGGGGAAUAUUGCACAAUGGGCGCAAGCCUGAUGCAGCCAUGCCGCGUGUAUGAAGAAGGCCUUCGGGUUGUAAAGUACUUUCAGCGGGGAGGAAGGGAGUAAAGUUAAUACCUUUGCUCAUUGACGUUACCCGCAGAAGAAGCACCGGCUAACUCCGUGCCAGCAGCCGCGGUAAUACGGAGGGUGCAAGCGUUAAUCGGAAUUACUGGGCGUAAAGCGCACGCAGGCGGUUUGUUAAGUCAGAUGUGAAAUCCCCGGGCUCAACCUGGGAACUGCAUCUGAUACUGGCAAGCUUGAGUCUCGUAGAGGGGGGUAGAAUUCCAGGUGUAGCGGUGAAAUGCGUAGAGAUCUGGAGGAAUACCGGUGGCGAAGGCGGCCCCCUGGACGAAGACUGACGCUCAGGUGCGAAAGCGGGGGGAGCAAACAGG
rnacentral:rRNA from 1 species